UGAUUGAACGUGCUUGCACGGACUUGACGUUGGUUUACCAGCGAGUGGCGGACGGGUGAGUAACACGUAGGUAACCUGCCCCAAAGCGGGGGAUAACAUUUGGAAACAGAUGCUAAUACCGCAUAACAAUUUGAAUCGCAUGAUUCAAAUUUAAAAGAUGGCUUCGGCUAUCACUUUGGGAUGGACCUGCGGCGCAUUAGCUUGUUGGUAGGGUAACGGCCUACCAAGGCUGUGAUGCGUAGCCGAGUUGAGAGACUGAUCGGCCACAAUGGAACUGAGACACGGUCCAUACUCCUACGGGAGGCAGCAGUAGGGAAUCUUCCACAAUGGGCGCAAGCCUGAUGGAGCAACACCGCGUGAGUGAAGAAGGGUUUCGGCUCGUAAAGCUCUGUUGUUAGAGAAGAACGUGCGUGAGAGCAACUGUUCACGCAGUGACGGUAUCUAACCAGAAAGUCACGGCUAACUACGUGCCAGCAGCCGCGGUAAUACGUAGGUGGCAAGCGUUAUCCGGAUUUAUUGGGCGUAAAGCGAGCGCAGGCGGUUUGAUAAGUCUGAUGUGAAAGCCUUUGGCUUAACCAAAGAAGUGCAUCGGAAACUGUCAGCUUUGAGUGCAGAAGAGGACAGUGGAACUCCUGGGGAGAAC
rnacentral:rRNA from 1 species